rnacentral:rRNA from 1 species
GAUGAACGCUAGCUACAGGCUUAACACAUGCAAGUCGAGGGGAAACGAUAUUGGAAGCUUGCUUCUGAUAGGCGUCGACCGGCGCACGGGUGAGUAACGCGUAUCCAACCUGCCCAUCACUUGGGGAUAACCUUGUGAAAGUAAGACUAAUACCCAAUGACGUCUCUAGAAGACAUCUGAAAGAGAUUAAAGAUUUAUCGGUGAUGGAUGGGGAUGCGUCUGAUUAGCUUGUUGGCGGGGUAACGGCCCACCAAGGCGACGAUCAGUAGGGGUUCUGAGAGGAAGGUCCCCCACAUUGGAACUGAGACACGGUCCAAACUCCUACGGGAGGCAGCAGUGAGGAAUAUUGGUCAAUGGACGAGAGUCUGAACCAGCCAAGUAGCGUGCAGGAUGACGGCCCUAUGGGUUGUAAACUGCUUUUAUAAGGGAAUAAAGUGGGAGUCGUGACUCUUUUUGCAUGUACCUUUAUGAAUAAGGACCGGCUAAUUCCGUGCCAGCAG